UCAAAACAGGAGGAAUAAUUUUCAAAACUAUCAUCAGCAACCGUAUGUUGCGGCUGUGACUAUUCCGGCUGCAGCACCACUACAACAACAACAACAACCACAGCGUCAACAGAAUCAAUACCAACAACAGCAACCACAACGUCAGCAAGCUCAGUAUCAACAACAACAACAACCAGGUAACAGACCCACCUAUCAACAGAGGCAGAGGAUGAUGGACCGGCGUUUCGACACUCUUCCAAUGUCGUGCGCUCAACUGCUUGCCAAUCUUCAACAGCUACAACUGGU
rnacentral:lncRNA from 1 species